GACGAACGCUGGCGGCGCGCCUAACACAUGCAAGUCGAACGAGCGAGAGAGAGCUUGCUUUCUCGAGCGAGUGGCGAACGGGUGAGUAACGCGUGAGGAACCUGCCUCAAAGAGGGGGACAACAGUUGGAAACGACUGCUAAUACCGCAUAAGCCCACGGCUCGGCAUCGAGCAGGGGAAAAAGGAGCAAUCCGCUUUGAGAUGGCCUCGCGUCCGAUUAGCUAGUUGGUGGGGUAACGGCCCACCAAGGCGACGAUCGGUAGCCGGACUGAGAGGUUGAACGGCCACAUUGGGACUGAGACACGGCCCAGACUCCUACGGGAGGCAGCAGUGGGGAAUAUUGCACAAUGGGGGAAACCCUGAUGCAGCGACGCCGCGUGGAGGAAGAAGGUCUUCGGAUUGUAAACUCCUGUUGUUGGGGAAGAUAAUGACGGUACCCAACAAGGAAGUGACGGCUAACUACGUG
rnacentral:rRNA from 1 species